rnacentral:rRNA from 1 species
GCUCAGAUUGAACGCUGGCGGCAGGCCUAACACAUGCAAGUCGAGCGGAUGAAGGGAGCUUGCUCCUGGAUUCAGCGGCGGACGGGUGAGUAAUGCCUAGGAAUCUGCCUGGUAGUGGGGGAUAACGUCCGGAAACGGGCGCUAAUACCGCAUACGUCCUACGGGAGAAAGCAGGGGACCUUCGGGCCUUGCGCUAUCAGAUGAGCCUAGGUCGGAUUAGCUUGUUGGUGAGGUAAUGGCUCACCAAGGCUGCGAUCCGUAACUGGUCUGAGAGGAUGAUCAGUCACACUGGAACUGAGACACGGUCCAGACUCCUACGGGAGGCAGCAGUGGGGAAUAUUGGACAAUGGGCGAAAGCCUGAUCCAGCCAUGCCGCGUGUGUGAAGAAGGUCUUCGGAUUGUAAAGCACUUUAAGUUGGGAGGAAGGGUUGUAGGUUAAUACCCUGCAAUUUUGACGUUACCGACAGAAUAAGCACCGGCUAACUUCGUGCCAGCAGCCGCGGUAAUACGAAGGGUGCAAGCGUUAAUCGGAAUUACUGGGCGUAAAGCGCGCGUAGGUGGUUUGUCAAGUUGGAAGUGAAAGCCCCGGGCUCAACCUGGGAACUGCUUUCAAAACUGGCAAGCUAGAGUAUGGCAGAGGGUGGUGGAAUUUCCUGUGUAGCGGUGAAAUGCGUAGAUAUAGGAAGGAACAUCAGUGGCGAAGGCGACCACC